rnacentral:rRNA from 1 species
CUUAAGCAUAUCAAUAAGCGGAGGAAAAGAAACCAACUGGGAUUGCCCUAGUAACGGCGAGUGAAGCGGCAAUAGCUCAAAUUUGAAAUCUGGCUCUCUUUGGGGGUCCGAGUUGUAAUUUGCAGAGGGUGCUUUGGCGUUGACGGCGGUCUAAGUUCCUUGGAACAGGACAUCGCAGAGGGUGAGAAUCCCGUUUGUGGUCGCCAGUCUUCACCGUGUAAAGCCCCUUCGACGAGUCGAGUUGUUUGGGAAUGCAGCUCUAAAUGGGAGGUAAAUUUCUUCUAAAGCUAAAUACCGGCCAGAGACCGAUAGCGCACAAGUAGAGUGAUCGAAAGAUGAAAAGCACUUUGGAAAGAGAGUCAAAUAGCACGUGAAAUUGUUGAAAGGGAAGCGCUUGCAGCCAGACUUGCCUGUAGUUGCUCAUCCGGGCUCUUGCCCGGAGCACUCUUCUGCAGGCAGGCCAGCAUCAGUUUGGGCGGCUGGAUAAAGACCUCUGUCAUGUAUCUUCCUUCGGGAUGACCUUAUAGGGGAGGUGUAAUGCAGUCAGCCUGGACUGAGGUCCGCGCAUUUGCUAGGAUGCUGGCGUAAUGGCUGUAAGCGGCCCGUCUUGAAACACGGACCAAGGAGUCUAACAUCUAUGCGAGUGUUUGGGUGUCAAGCCCGGGCGCGCAAUGAAAGUGAACGGAGGUGGGAACCCUCUCGGGGGUGCACCAUCGACCGAUCCUGAUGUCUUCGGAUGGAUUUGAGUAAGAGCAUAGCUGUUGGGACCCGAAAGAUGGUGAACUAUGCUUGAAUAGGGUGAAGCCAGAGGAAACUCUGGUGGAGGCUCGCAGCGCUUCUGACGUGCAAAUCGAUCGUCAAAUUUGGGCAUAGGGGCGAAAGACUAAUCGAACA